GGAUCGUGCUCUUGUUGGAUUUAGGCGCAUGGUCUCGUGGCCCAGAGCACGUUGAGGGAUCCUUGUCGUGGAGCACUGGUAACGUGACCGUUUCUUCCACGUGGAUAUUGGAGGCCACUCUCAGCAGAGUGUGAGCUGAGCGUCUACAAGUCGGUACCGGUGCCCCGCCAGCUCGCCGAGGGACCCACGGACGCGACCGGACGCGGCGAGCACCCUCUCUCCGGCAGCGAGCCAGUGCUGACCGAGCUGGCCGGUCGGCUCAACGCCGUCUCCACUCAGGUCACGAGACUGUCAGCUCCGGAAGGGUGGCACGGGGGCACCGGCGCCGUCAACUCGCCACCCGCCCCCACCUCGAGCGGCAGCGGAGCGCCUGACCCCACCGCCGCCAACGGCCGGCUCGCCAAGAAGUACCACCACCUCAGGGACAUGUUCUCCAACAGGUUCAGCCGCUCAGGCGACUCGGACGGCCGCUCUAUGCCGCUGUCGGCCGCUCCGGAACACGGCGGGGAGCACGGUGCUCCGCCCGCCUCCUCCGCAGCGGGAGUGGCGGCUGCGCGCGGCGCUCCUCUCCGCAGCAGUGUGCGCUCGCUAGCUGCGGAGGAGGUGUCCGCAGCAGCCGCUGAGCGGCAGCUGUGGGCGGCUGAGGGACAGACGCGAG